GCAGAGGUUGAGAUUUCUGGCAGAACUGUAUCUUGUGUAAUUCCUCUCCUCAGCUUUUGUUUAUAAAGAUGCAGAAGGAGCUGCUGAAUAGAGAUAGAAGAUUCAGUGCUGCUGCAUCUACAGGCAGAUGAAAUGGCCAGGAAAAGUUGUGUCUCCACAUGGCUUUCAUGACCACCCUCUCUGGAGAUGCCUCUAACUACCCAGAGGGAACCCAGCCCCAGCUCAGGUACUGAGAACAGCCUCACUGGCUUUGUCCCUCCUGUUUCCAGUGGACCUCAAGCCCUUCCUUCUUGCCGAUCUCAAGCCAGCCACAAGCUCACCAUGAUGCUUUCUGGUGAUGCAGUAUCACAGUUAAGACACUUAUCAUCCUGUUCUCCCUCUGCACAAAAGCAGUAUCCAUACGUGGCUGCACAUACAGAGUGUUCACAUGCCUCGGAAAAUAGCAAUGUCUGCAUAGCGUGAAAGGUGAUUCCUGCAAGCAUAAAUCCACUGCAGUAUCCAUCCAGCACUGGAAUAUUCUAAACGAGGAGAAAUGAUGGGGCUCAUUAGAACUGUGUGACCUUUCAGCAUUCUCUGUAAAAAUUGCUGCAUGCAGGGGGACGAAUCCUGCUGUACUUUAUGCACAUAUCACUGUAAACACAAUGUCUGUGUCAGAAGAAGAAAAACCACAACAAUGUUCAAGUACUUUAUGUAUUUUCAGUUAUUUGUGUAGUUUCUUGUGCUUUGUGAGUGGCGAAUAAAAUGGUGGCCAUAUUAUGUGAGAAUAUUAGGAGUCGAGGGUUUAGUCUUAAGAUGUAUCUAGAACCCCCUAAUUCAGUGGAAUUUGUGAGUGCUCAGUAUUUCUUCAAGUGUUUGAGUAAUCCUAUUAAUCAACUGUUGAAGAAAGUAUUAAAAGAGUCAAUAAGCUGAAAAGGUAUUUCAAAAUA